GUUAUCAUUCUAUAGUCAACUUUGCAAAUGGCAUUAUUGUUCUCUAAACCAAUAAGGUUUUAUUUUUUAAAAAUCAAUGGAAAUUGGCAACUGUGGUGGGAGAUUUGAAUGGCAUUUCUGCUGUUUCCAUUGGGAAAAUGGCUGAAUGACUUCUUAUCUCUCUUUGGUGGAUUACCGGACUUGAUAUAUUUAUUAAAGGCCAUUGAAUUGUUGUUUCAGGGAUGGAUUUUGACCCAAUGGAAUAUCCACACUGAAGAAGAGAUGAAUGUGGCGGCUUCCAUGAGUGUCCCUUGCCUUGACCAGAGCUCGGAGUGCAACCUGAAGAUCUGUCGAGGGUAGAAGGGGAUCAUCUUCUCAGAGAUACAGUCUUUCUCAGUCCUGGGAUGUGUUUAUUUCUAAGAAAUAGAUUCAACUGAGAAAUAAAAAUGUUUAACA
rnacentral:lncRNA from 1 species